rnacentral:tRNA from 1 species
GGGCUCGUAGCUCAGUCAGGCAGAGCACCGGGCUUUUAUUCCGGCGCAAAUUACGUGGAAAAGAUACCCGAUGGUCGAGGGUUCAAAUCCCUCCGAGCCCG